GAUGAACGCUAGCUACAGGCUUAACACAUGCAAGUCGAGGGGAAACGAUGAGAGAGCUUGCUCUCUUAGGCGUCGACCGGCGCACGGGUGAGUAACGCGAAUCCAACCUACCCAUUACAGGGGGAUAACCUUGCGAAAGUAAGACUAAUACCCCAUGGCAUUUUAUGGUGGCAUCAUUAUAGGAUUAAAGAUUUAUUGGUAAUGGAUGGGGAUGCGUCUGAUUAGCUUGUUGGCGGGGUAACGGCCCACCAAGGCAACGAUCAGGAGGGGUUAUGAGAGGAAGGUCCCCCACAUUGGAACUGAGACACGGUCCAAACUCCUACGGGAGGCAGCAGUGAGGAAGAUUGGUCAAUGGGCGAGAGCUUGAACCAGCCAAGUAGCGUGCAGGAUGACGGCCCUAGGGGUUGUAAACUGCUUUUAUAGGGGAAUAAAGUGAGCUACGUGUAGUUUAUUGCAUGUACCCUAUGAAUAAGGACCGGCUAAUUCCGUG
rnacentral:rRNA from 1 species